UACGAAGGGUGCAAGCGUUAAUCGGAAUUACUGGGCGUAAAGCGUGCGUAGGCGGUGAGUUAAGUCUGUCGUGAAAUCCCCGGGCUCAACCUGGGAAUGGCGAUGGAUACUGGCUCGCUAGAGUGUGAUAGAGGAUGGUGGAAUUCCCGGUGUAGCGGUGAAAUGCGUAGAGAUCGGGAGGAACAUCAGUGGCGAAGGCGGCUUCCUGGACCGACACUGACGCUGAGGCGCGAAAGCCAGGGGAGCGAACGGG
rnacentral:rRNA from 1 species